rnacentral:rRNA from 1 species
UACGGGGGGGGCAAGCGUUGUUCGGAAUUACUGGGCGUAAAGGGCGCGUAGGCGGUGCUCUAAGUCGGAUGUGAAAACUCUGGGCUCAACCCAGAGCCUGCAUCCGAAACUGGAGUGCUAGAGUUCUGGAGGGGGUAGCGGAAUUCCUGGUGUAGCGGUGAAAUGCGUAGAUAUCUGCAGGAACACCCGUGGCGAAAGCGGCGCGCUGGACCACUACUGACGCUGAGGAACGAAAGCUAGGGGAGCAAACAGG